rnacentral:rRNA from 1 species
UACAGAGGUCCCAAGCGUUGUUCGGAUUCAUUGGGCGUAAAGGGUGUGUAGGUGGCGCGCUAAGUCGGGUGUGAAAUUUCGGAGCUUAACUCCGAAACUGCAUUCGAUACUGGCGUGCUUGAGGACUGGAGAGGAGACUGGAAUUCAUGGUGUAGCAGUGAAAUGCGUAGAGAUCAUGAGGAAGACCAGUGGCGAAGGCGGGUCUCUGGACGGUUCCUGACACUGAGACACGAAGGCCAGGGGAGCAAACGGG